UACGUAGGGGGCAAGCGUUGUCCGGAUUUAUUGGGCGUAAAGAGCGUGUAGGCGGCCAGACAGGUCCGUUGUGAAACUAGAGGCUUAACCUCUAGACGUCGAUGGAAACCGUCUGGCUAGAGUCCGGAAGAGGAGAAUGGAAGUUCCUGGUGUAGCGGUGAAAUGACGCAGAUAUCAGGAAGAACACCCGUGGCUAAGGCGGCAUCCCUGGACCGGCAUUGACGCUGAG
rnacentral:rRNA from 1 species